CCCAGAUUCGCGAGCCCCUGUGCGCGGCGGCUGUGCCGAGUUAUCGAAGACGCAUCACCUUAACCCCUCCCUGCCCUCCCCACUUUAGCCGCUGCGGCUGGCGUGCCGGUGCGCGCGUGCGUCGUGCGAGCUUUGCUGAUGAUGCGUGAGGAGCGCUCCUCCCAUCCUCCAAAAGAGCAGAAUUAACCAACUGACGCUUUCACGGUGCCGUUGCCGCCGCGCCCCUCUGCUCCCCGGCUGCCCUCGCGGGCGGCGGUGCUGCUGAGCGGCCGCUGCGGCUGCGGUGCGUGCGUGAUGCCGAGCGGUGCUGAAUGGCAAAGACUCUGCGCUUGUGUGUGUGCGUGUACGCCGGGCAAGGCUUCCUCUCCGCUCCCCGCCGUGCGGCUGCCAGCAACCGAGAUGAAGCUGAUAUGGUCCGUGUUUCAGAUCCGCGUGACGCAAGUUUCUCUCCUAGUACAUAUCUUCUGAGUUGCUGCUGGCGGCGCGCGCGCAUGUGUAUCUGUGCGUGUGUGUGUGUGUGUGUGCGGCGCCUGCUGCCGAGCGCUGCCCCUCUAGAUCCCUGCUUUCGCUGCCCGCAGCACGGCGUUGUCGGUUGGGCGUGACUCCUUGCACCUCGUAGGUACGACCCUAUCUCGCAACCCCCAGAUUCGCGAGCCCCUGUGCGCGGCGGCUGCACGCGUUGUGUCUCGGUUGUCUGCUUUGGGACGUUUAAUGCUGGGGGGAACGUAGCGGAAGGUUUGUCCUCUCUACUGCGGAAUCAGUAAUGGACGCGUAAAGGUUAUGCCGUGUGUGGGUGUGCGUGUGUGUGUGUGUGAAAGGCUUCUAACCGGUCUGGAGCGGCACGCACAGGCGGCGGAAAGGUGGAAAGGAGACGUCGUGGUAAGUGGAGGGGUGGCAGCUGACUUGUCUGUUUCUCAUUCCAUGGCUUUUUCCCUCGUACAUUCGUGUGCUCCCAUGAGCCGGUGGCCGUAUUACGUCGGAGCUGUCUGCCGACGCUCCCCCCGUACCUCUCGCAUGAAUAUGCGCAUCUCACGUGCUUCUAUUACCUUCCCCCCUUUUCCCAUGCUUGCCGGUAAAG
rnacentral:misc_RNA from 1 species